UAAUCUUCAUGUUUGAUAUUUCCCUUGCCUUAUAUGCGUGUUUUUAACGACACGGAAAAUCAGAAUCAAGCAGUAUUUAUAUUUAGUGUUUUUAUAAAUUUAGAAACACGUCAGAGGGAAUUCCCCAGUUGUGAUAAAAAUGCGAGAGUUCUGUGCAUUCCGAUAAAUCUAUUUCUGUCAUAUAAGAACUGAAGUGGAGUUUUACUUAUAUGCCACCGUUAUUAAACUGAUAUUUGAUAUUGUACUUCCAUAAAAAAAAAUAGAGAACUAUUUAGGUUUAAUAUACGUUCUUACUACAGGGUUUGUUAAGGUAAUUAUGCGCAUGCGUAUAGUUUUCUUGACUUCAAGGGGUACUAGGUUAAAUGGUUGCUCUGGAUUCCCC
rnacentral:lncRNA from 1 species